ACUCCUACGGGGAGGCAGCAGUGGGGAAUAUUGCACAAUGGGGGAAACCCUGAUGCAGCCAUGCCGCGUGUGUGAAGAAGGCCUUCGGGUUGUAAAGCACUUUCAGUAGGGAGGAAGGUAGUGUAGUUAACACCUGCAUUAUUUGUACGUUACCUACAGAAGAAGCACCGGCUAACUCCGUGCCAGCAGCCGCGGUAAUACGGAGGGUGCGAGCGUUAAUCGGAAUUACUGGGCGUAAAGCGCAUGCAGGCGGCCUGUUAAGUCAGAUGUGAAAGCCCGGGGUCUUAACCUCGGAAUUGCAUUUGAAACUGGCAGGCUAGAGUCUUGGUAGAGGGGUUAGAAUUUCAGGUGUAGCGGUGAAAUGCGUAGAG
rnacentral:rRNA from 1 species